CAGCCUGGGCAACAAGAGUGAAACUCCGUCUCAAAAAAAAAAAAAGUUUUGUGUUAUAUGGAUUCCAGUUCUCAGCUGAAAAAUCUCCACCUUUUCAUCUACUUUCUCCCUUGCUUCCUCCAUCUAAACAAAAACGCACAGAGUUCGAACUCUAAACAAAAACUCACAGAGAGUUCAGGGGUUCUCUGCUGCGACUUCCACUCUCUGGCUUUGUGUGCAUCCGUUUCCACGGGCUAUUUUUCCUCUUGAUUUUUGGCCCUGUGGUCUCUGAAUGCUGGAUGUCAUGCGCUGAAGCCUGGAGACUCCAGAUCCGGGGUCAGCAAACUGCAGCGGGGGGCAGCCGCCUGCUUUUGUGAACGCAGCGUAUUGAAACACACCCAUGCCCAUUUGUUCACAGAUGCUCUGUGGCUGCGUGUGCCCUACAGCAGCACGGUUCAGUAGGCAGAGGCCACUUCUACUACCCGGCUAAGGAAAAGAUGGGCAGAGCCUGCUCUGGAUGACGCUGUGUUCCAGCCGGCGGAGAGGGUCCCCCAUUUCCUCGGAACUAAUCCUCCAGGAAAUUAACAGACAGUUUGCUGUGGACAACUAGAGCCCUCCCCUUCCUUAGCCCUGAGCGAGGUAAACAAUUCUGCUCUGCCUUCCGGAAGUUUCAAAUUAGCUCUUCAACCAGCGUUUUCACGCAGCUUCCAGUCCUGCCACAGUCUUGAAGAAGAGAUCAGCUUUCGCGUCUUCAUUCUUGCCAAGAUUAGCUGCCCUUCGAAUCUCCCGUGUGUCAUUAAUCCCAGCACGAACAAGCACUUGGGAACUGCGGGCUGCAGAUGGUCUGCUUAUCCUACGGAACCCUCCUCUUUUGAGGCUUAACCCCUUUAGUCUUUGUUGCUUCUGUAGCUUUCUGAUGCCAUUAAAGAGAUGAUUUUUAUA
rnacentral:lncRNA from 1 species